rnacentral:rRNA from 1 species
GGAAGGAUCAUUACCGAGUUUUGGGUCUCUUCACCGAGCCCACUCUCCAACCCUUUGUGUACCUACCUCUGUUGCUUUGGCGGGCCGCGGUUCUCCGCGGCCGGCCCCCUAGCCGGGGCUGGCCUGCGCCCGCCAGAGGGCCACAAAACUCCAGUCAGUGAACUUUGCUGUCUGAUAUAAAUUCAAUAAACUAAAACUUUCAACAACGGAUCUCUUGGUUCUGGCAUCGAUGAAGAACGCAGCGAAAUGCGAUAAGUAAUGUGAAUUGCAGAAUUCAGUGAAUCAUCGAAUCUUUGAACGCACAUUGCGCCCUUUGGUAUUCCGAAGGGCAUGCCUGUUCGAGCGUCAUUACACCCCUCAAGCUCUGCUUGGUAUUGGGCAGCGUCCUCUCGGACGCGCCUCAAAGACCUCGGCGGUGGCGUCUUGCCUCAAGCGUAGUAGAAAACACCUCGCUUUGGAGGACGGGACGACCGCUCGCCGGACGAACCUUUGAAUUCAUUUUCCUAGGUUGACCUCGGAU